UCCUCCUGCCUCAGCCUCCCAGAGUGCUGGAAUGGCAGGCCUGUACCGCUAGGCUAGUUUUGGCUUUUAUUCAACACAACCACAGAAAAGGCAGCUGGGAAAAGGAAGCAGUGCUUUGCGGAAUCGUGGACAGGAGCAGCGUGUGGAAACCCCCAGACCGGCUCAUCAGAGGGCGGGGCUCAGGGAGACGGCAGCGGCGGGCAGCCCACACGGUGCUCUUCCAGGGGUCUGGGUGGGGCUGUCACCCCCAGGUACACAGAGCAGGAGGAACGGGGCAGUGGGGCGUGCGGGUGGGGAGCACAGCGAGGACACGUGGAGAAGACAUCUGCCUGCGACACCAGACUGCAGGUGACCUGUAGCAGGUUCCAAACAGCGCAGCGAAGGCGGCGGCAGUGGCGCAGCCAGCGGGCUCCGAGAGGGAAGCUGCCAGGAGCAGACCCCAGAGCCCCGUGACCUCGGCUUUCCUGGUUCCCCAAACAUCACUCUGGUGCGGUGUUGGACUCUCCACAGCUGCACAGGGCUGCGCGUCCAGAGCCCGGGGCUGCGCCUGCGGAGCAGGGCGGGAAGGACCGCCCGGUGCUUGCUGGGUAGCUCCCCACCACUCCAGCUCCGGAGCUGGGCCUGCCAAGGGCCGCACACUGCCGUGGGUGGAGGGCUCCCUGCUGCUCCCAAAGGGUGGGAGCUCCAGGGAGGCUGAGCAGCUUCCCAGCACUACCAGCUUGUUGUUGACAGAGCUUGGACUUCUGGGUUUUCGACAGAGCUUCUCUGCCCUUCCUAAGGGAACAACAGGCAGCAGCUGUAGCUACUCAGCGGGGCCCUCAAAGGACAAUGCAGCCCAGGAGCAGCGUGUGAGCUGAUCCUCACUGGGGAUUUCACAGGGACGCACAAAGGGGGGAUGUUUCCUCCUGGCUUUGGUGCGGUCUCUGCGAGCCUCCUUUCCCACGCUCUGGCCUUGGGCCCUUCCCCCUCCCCCGGCUGCGGGCAUCCAGGGGGCCUCGGGAUUCCUCAUGUGGUUUCAUCAUCCAUUGAAGAGAAGACGUCACCGUGGUAAUGACUGACCUUACUCUCCGACUGGAGCACGUCUCACAGAGGUGCAAAGACCACAGAGGGCCUUCCAGCUCUCAGCUCAACUCAAGAGUUUACAUUUCAAGUUAUUUUACCCUCCAGGAAAAAAAUCCAGUAAAUUACUGUACAUUAUAUUCACGGGUUGCCGUGAAAUAAAGUAG